AGAUUGAACGCUGGCGGCAUGCCUUACACAUGCAAGUCGAACGGCAGCACGGGAGCAAUCCUGGUGGCGAGUGGCGAACGGGUGAGUAAUACAUCGGAACGUGCCCAAUCGUGGGGGAUAACGCAGCGAAAGCUGUGCUAAUACCGCAUAAGAUCUACGGAUGAAAGCAGGGGAUCGCAAGACCUUGCGCGAAUGGAGCGGCCGAUGGCAGAUUAGGUAGUUGGUGAGGUAAAGGCUCACCAAGCCUUCGAUCUGUAGCUGGUCUGAGAGGACGACCAGCCACACUGGGACUGAGACACGGCCCAGACUCCUACGGGAGGCAGCAGUGGGGAAUUUGGACAAUGGGCGAAAGCCUGAUCCAGCCAU
rnacentral:rRNA from 1 species